ACUCCUACGGGAGGCAGCAGUGGGGAAUUGUUCGCAAUGGGCGCAAGCCUGACGACGCAACGCCGCGUGGAGGAUGAAGGUCUUCGGGUUGUAAACCGCUUUUGUCGGGGAAGAAAUCCUCCGGGCUAAUACCCUGGGGGGAUGACGGUACCCGAAGAAUAAGCACCGGCUAACUACGUGCCAGCAGCCGCGGUAGU
rnacentral:rRNA from 1 species